AUCAAGUUAUUACUGCAGCGAUCGGAACCUGGAAUGAGGCCAGAAGAACUAGAAGCUUUAUUACAAGACGCCCAACAGUCUCCUAUUGAUGCGAAUAGCGGCCAUGGAUCAACACAUUUUCCGAACUUAGAUGUGGGUAACAAUGAAGAUUAAGCAAUGAAGAUUAAGCUGACUAUUAUUGUGGUUUAUUGGCUAAGAUAAAAUGCUAUUUAGAAUCUUUACAUGUAUGGUUGACUAAUGACUUUUAUUAGAAGAUACUUUUAUUGGCUAAGUGAUAUUAUGGUUUUGAUA